GCUGCCCCUAGAGGCAUUGCAGGAAUGGCUGCUCUGUCACAUGUGCAUCAAUACGUGGCAGAGAGGAGAGACACUAUGUCUAACCUUAGUGUUAUGACCUGUGAACUUCUGAAUGAUUUGGAGCCUAACAUU